rnacentral:tRNA from 1 species
CCGUGCUCGGUUUGUAGGAGCUGAAAUCGUGUCCGGUCCGCGCCCGCACCAGGGCAAGCACCGCGGCCAGGUCCUGUUCGACCUCGGAGGUAUGGC